rnacentral:lncRNA from 1 species
UCUCUUGGAGUUCUAGCUCACCUUUCUGGUGUUGUUCUUGUACUCAUCUGUUUAAUCUAGUUCUGCCACUUCUUCUUGAACUUCUUGUUAGAUUUCAAGUCUGUAUUUUGUGUCCGUGACAGUUUGUCGAGACUGCAUUUUUACUGGUAUCAGAGCUAGUUCCUUCUUGUUAGAGAUUGGAUUACCCCUCUUCUUGAAGGUGUGCUAGUAUUUUAGAGGUUGCGGAUUACCCUCCUCUAAACUGAUAUCUCUUCUUUCUCAAUAUUGGAGCCUUAUUCUUCUUGGAGAGAGUGGAUUACUCCUCAUCUUGGAGUCUUAAGGCAUUUUAGAGGUUGCGGAGUACUCUCCUCUGAACCAAUAUUGUCCUCUUGUCAAAACUCUUUUUUCUUCUUUCUAAAGGUUAGCCAAAGGUUAAGACGUUAAAAUGGCUGAAAUUUUGGAAUCCAAACUAGACGCCAUCAUAAAUGCUCUUGCCUCGUUGUCACAUAGGACAACAGAGAUUGAAGGAGUCAUGGUAGGACUCCAUAACAAUGGAGCAUCUGGGAUAGCGCCAUCUAAAGCAUAUCAGCCUCAAACUUCUGCGCCAGAAGAAGCAGUUCUACCUCCAUUUCAACAAGAUCGAGUAGUCCUACAACGAAAGGAGCCUCGAGUUAGUCUUCCGGGUAAGUUUGAUGGAACUCGUUCCAAGUUUCGAGGUUUUGUCAACCAAAUCAGGUUGAUAACAAUUUUACAGCCCGAACGUUAUCCGACGGAGGAAGCGCGUGUUGGACUUGUUGGAACCUUGCUUACAGCACAAGCUCUGUCUUGGUUUACUCCCUUGUUCGAGAAGCGAUCGCCAAUCCUGAGCAACUUUGAAACGUUCUUGGAGGCAUUUGCAGGAGCAUUUGGCGAGCAUGAUAAAGUUCGAUGGGCUACAACAAAGAUCCGAUCGCUACGACAAGGAACACGCUCUGCAUCAGUCUAUGCCUCGGAUUUCAGACAAUUGGCAAGUGACAUUAAUUGGGAUGAAGAAGCGUUGGUGAGUCAGUUUUAUUGGGGCUUGAAGGAUGAUGUGAAGGACUUGCUGUUAUCUCUUCCUGAUCCUCAAACGCUCAACGAAGCUAUUAGCCAAGCUCUAAAGUGUGACAACCGCCUAUUCCAGCGUCGUCAAGACCAACGUCCAAGACACCAAAUGACUCGUUACAAUGUGACUAUGUCUGCAAAUAGCUUAAACUCACAUUCGGAGGCAACAGACAUGCAAAUCGACACGGCGCGUGUCCGAUCUCUUACUCCAACAGAGAAGAAACGGCGUAUGGAGGAAGGGUUAUGUUUGUACUGUGGAGAAGAAGGUCACAAGGUUGGAAAUUGCCCAAAGAAGCAAAAUUGGCACCCUGUCAAGACUAGAAGUACGAUGAUUCCGGAAAACGACGACGCCCAGCCACAGUAGGAACCGUACGGCUGGACAAUCUAAUAUCACGACAACAAUCAGGUUCCUCCUUCUUUGUCCAACCUGCCCGUUGUUUUACAAUUCCUUUGUUUUUAGGCCCUCAAAAACAAAAAACUUUAGCUUUAUUGGAUUCGGGGGCAUCUACUUGUUUUUUAGAUGAAGAGUUUGCUAAAUGCCACAAGAUCCAUUUAGUACAGAAGUCCAAACCUGUUCACGUAGAGGUGAUAGAUGGACGACCCUUAUUGUCAGGCAACGUUACCCACAAAUCAGAACCUAUAGAAGUGGUGUUUAAGGACCAUAGUAGUCACGUUAUUUUUAAUAUUAUUAGAAUCCCAUCAAGCCCUGUUAUCCUUGGUCUUUCUUGGUUAGAAGAUCAUAAUCCGUCCAUUGAUUGGAGGCUACGAAGGAUAACAUUUCCUGAAAAAAAUAAUAAUAAACCUGUUGGUAGAACCUACAUGAAGAAAUCCAUGUUUAUUGGAGCGAGAGCGUUCCUAAGAUCGUCCAAGGAAGGCGCACCAUUUGUCAUUUAUGCAGCUCCAACUAGCGGCGAGAAUAUCUCAACAUCGAAUAUACCAGAGCAAUAUAGGGAUUUUGAAGACGUAUUUCAGAAGAAGAACGCUGAUAUACUGCCGAAACAUCGACCAUAUGAUUGCGCCAUAGACUUAGAGGAAGGAGCGCAACCACCUUUUGGUCCAAUAUACAACCUAUCGCAGACGGAGUUGGCAGAAUUACGGAAGUACAUCGAUGAGAAUUUAGCCAAGAAUUUUAUUCGACAUUCAAAGUCGCCAGCCGGAGCACCAAUCCUAUUUGUGAAGAAAAAGGAUGGCUCACUGCGGAUGUGCGUGGACUACCGAGGACUCAACAAGGUGACCAAGAAAAAUCGCUAUCCCUUACCUUUGAUCUCCGGCCUCUUAGAUCAACUUGGACGUGCAAGGAUUUUUACAAAGAUUGAUUUAAGAGGAGCCUACAACCUUGUGCGAAUCAAAGAAGGAGAUGAAUGGAAGACAGCCUUUCGUACAAGGUAUGGCCAUUUUGAGUACAAUGUCAUGCCUUUUGGUCUUACCAAUGCUCCAGCGGUCUUUCAGCAUAUGAUGAACGACAUCUUUCGGGAGUACCUCGAUGACUUUGUUGUCAUUUAUCUGGAUGAUAUUUUGAUAUUUUCCAAGAAUGAAGAAGAACAUGAGAAGCACUUUUGUUUGGUUCUUGAAAAACUACGCGAACGAGGACUCUACGUCAAGUUGGAAAAGUGUCAAUUUCACCAGAAUGAGAUGGAAUUUUUGGGCUUCAUUGCGACUACAGAGGGCUUGAAGAUGGAUCCAAAAAAGAUAGAAGCAAUUAUAUCUUGGGAAGUUCCGAAGACGGUUAGAGAUGUUCAGUGUUUUCUUGGAUUUGCUAACUUCUAUCGGAUCUUCAUCAAGAAUUAUUCUCAAGUUGCUGCACCACUCACGCAUCUAACAAGUAAAGACAAGCUCGAAUGGAGAUCACAAGCAGCAAAAGCAUUUCAAGAUCUCAAGACGGCAUUCACUACGGCUCCAAUCUUGGUACACCCUGACUUUGCAAAGGCUUUCUAUUUAGAGACCGAUGCUUCAGAUUUUGCUUUGGGAGCUGUGCUUUCACAGAUGGGCAUAGACAAGAAGCUUCACCCAGUUGCGUUCUAUUCACGGAAGUUCUCUGCUGUUGAGAUCAACUACGAGAUCCACGACAAAGAGCUGCUUGUUAUAGUGGAUGCCUUCCAAGAGUGGCGUCACUUCCUCGAAGGAGCUGCACAUCCAGUGACUGUUUAUACGGACCACAAGAAUUUGGAGUACUUCAUGACAGCUCGAAUUUUGAAUCGUCGUCAAGCUCGAUGGAAUAUGUCUCUAUCACGAUUUGACUUUAUUAUCACCUAUCGCCUUGGAAAAUAGCAAGGAUUAUCUGACGCAUUAUCGAGGAGAUCGUAUCUUGCGCCAAAGGCUGGAGAAGCAGCGUUUGAUCAACAAUGUACAACAUUGUUGAAACCAGAAAAAUUCAGGAUUUUUGCUACUGUUGCAACUAUCGAUGACGGCUUCCUCAGCGAGGUACGUACUGCGACCAUUGAGGAUUCUAUAGCUCUUGACAUCAAACAACGUGUCGAUAAUGACAAGUUUAAGGUGGAGGGAGAUCUUCUGUAUUUUGAGGAGCGGUUGUAUAUCCCGAAAGGACCAACUCGACUCCGAGUACUUCAAUCUCGCCACGACUUUCCAGCUGCGGGACAUUUUGGAUUCAACAAGACUUUAGAGCUCAUUUCACGAGAUUUUUGGUGGCCCCAAAUGUGGAAGGAUGUGAAGGAAUUUGUCCUUUCUUGUGAUGUUUGUUCAAGAUCCAAGAUUCCUCGACAUCGUCCGUAUGGACUUCUCCAGCCAUUGCCUAUUCCGCACCGACCAUGGUCUUCAGUUUCUAUGGACUUCAUUACGGACCUACCGCCAUCGAAUUCAUUUGACAGCAUCUUUGUUGUGGUGGAUCGAUUUACAAAGAUGGCGCAUUUCGUGCCUUGCAAGAAAACAUCGUCAAGUGAAGACACCGCAAGACUCUUUCUUGAUAACAUAUAUCGUUAUCAUGGCCUACCAGAUGAUAUCGUGUCGGAUCGAGGUACUCAGUUUGUAUCCAAGUUUUGGAGGUCCCUCUUUGAGAUAUUGAAGGUGGAUAUUAAGCUCUCUUCGGCUUUUCAUCCUCAAACUGACGGUCAAACGGAGCGGGUGAAUCAAGUUUUGGAGCAAUAUUUACAAUGCACCAUCAACUAUCAACAAGAUGAUUGGACUGCAUAUCUACCGCUUGCUGAGUUCGCAUACAACAACACACUUCAUGCGUCAACUCAACAAACACCAUUCUUCUCCAACUACGGAUACCACCCCAAGCUCGAUUUAUUGAGUUCUUCAGCAAAUAACAACCCAGCAGCUGAAGGAUUUCUGAAGCAACUAUUGGAGCUUCAAGCGACGUUGAAGCUUCAAUUGCAAUCUGCCCAAGAGAGUUACAAGGCAUCUGUAGAUAAAUAUCGAAAUGAGGCGCCUACUUUUAAAGUUGGAAGUAAAGUAUGGCUUCUUCGACAGAAUAUCAAGACCAAGCGGCUAUGUGACAAAUUGGACUAUCGGAGAUUAGGGCCAUUUGUUAUCGGGAAGCAGAUCAAUCCGGUGGCAUAUCGUCUGGAGUUACCAGCUACUAUGAAGGUACAUCCAGUCUUUCAUGUGUCUUUGUUGGAACCUUAUCGAGAGUCAGUUUUUCCCCAAAGAGUACAAAGUCCGCCACCAAGUAUCGAAAUUGAAAACCAUGAGGAAUAUGAGGUGGAAAAGGUACUAGAUUCACGGCGUAAUAGGAGAAAAUUGGAGUAUUUAGUGCAUUGGAGUGGAUACGACAUCGAUGAACGAACGUGGGAGCGUGCCGAAAAUCUUGCCAAUGCACCAAAAAAGGUACAAGAAUUUCAUCAACGAUAUCCUCAUAAACCUAAGCCGAUUCAACGAUAGCUUCUUGCUGAAGCUUGCUCAUCAAGUAGCAUAAAAAGGGGGGAGGGCACCUCCAAAACCCAUAAUUCGAUAGUGUAGAACUUUGUUAGCAACUAUAGUUUGCUCUCAUCAUUUUAGCCUUUGGACAUGGAUAGUCAAGAUACUACACUUGUUAUGUCAUCUCAAGCGACUAGCUCAUGAAGACGACCGCGAGAUGAAGAACCGCCUGUACCACGACGACGUCGGAGGAUACCGAGCAACAGAUCGCUAGUAAUUGUAUUUGAGGUCGAGCCUGCCUACAACGGUCAGCCAGAAGGUGUGUUUGGAGGACAGUUUCACAAUGAAGACACAGAAGUCCACGCUUGGUCAGAGGUUGAAGGUGUUGGUCACUACCGUUGGCUCCAAGGGCCGAUGAAUCAUUUGCCUCGCGAACAACAAUUGGAAUUCAUAGCGGAUGUGAUGCGACAGAUUUUCAUUUUCUUGCGUUGAUAUUGACUGAUAACAACAUUGCUUCUCGGAGACCUCGAAGUUAGAAGAGGAGGUGAUGUCAUGGACAUACAUUGGAAGAUUCUUCAAAUAUUCUUCUAGAAUAUUCUUCUAGAAUAUUCUCUAAAGAUUCUCUAAAGAUUCUUUUAGAAGGUUCUAGAAGAUUCUUAGAAUAUUCCCUAAAGAUUCUCUUAGAAGGUUCUAGAAUAUUCUUAGAAGGUUCUAGAAUAUUCUUAGAAGGUUCUAGAAUAUUCUGAUAGAUUCUAGGAAGUUGCUCGAGAAGUUUCCUAAUUAGUAGAAGUUGUUGGAGAAGCGUCCUAGUUAGCGGAAGUAGCUCGAGAAGCUUCCUAUUCAGUAGUAUAUAUAGGAGUCGAGGCUGAAGGGUUCUUCAGUCUCGACAACACAUCUCUUGGAGUUCUAGUUCACCUUUCUGGUGUUGUUCUUGUACUCAUCUGUUUAACCUAGUUCUGCCACUUCUUCUUGAACUUCUUGUUAGAUUUCAAGUCUGUAUUUUGUGUCCGUGACAUUAUAGCACCUUGAAGGUAGUUAGAAAGAUAAGACUAAGGCCUUGUAGCCUCUUUUAAAAAAUUGAUAUACAUUAUUUGUGAGCCUUGGUAAGGCUUGAAUUUUUUAUCUCUUAAGUAAGUUAUUCUUGAGAUAAAAAUUAUUUAUUAAAUUUUUCAUUUAUUUGCUUGUUG